AGCGGCGGACGGGUGAGUAACGCGUGGGUAACCUGCCCUAUACACACGGAUAACAUACCGAAAGGUAUGCUAAUACGAGAUAAUAUAAGAGAUUCACAUGGAUUUCUUAUCAAAGCUGAGGCGGUAUAGGAUGGACCCGCGUCUGAUUAGCUAGUUGGUAAGGUAACGGCUUACCAAGGCGACGAUCAGUAGCCGACCUGUGAGGGUGAUCGGCCACAUUGGAACUGAGACACGGUCCAAACUCCUACGGGAGGCAGCAGUGGGGAAUAUUGCACAAUGGGCGAAAGCCUGAUGCAGCAACGCCGCGUGAGUGAUGAAGGCCUUCGGGUCGUAAAACUCUGUCCUCAAGGAAGAUAAUGACGGUACUUGAGGAGGAAGCCCCGGCUAACUACGUGCCAGCAGCCGCGGUAAUACGUAGGGGGCUAGCGUUAUCCGGAUUUACUGGGCGUAAAGGGUGCGUAGGUGGUCUCUUAAGUCAGGAGUGAAAGGCUACGGCUUAACCGUAGUAAGCUCUUGAAACUGGGAGACUUGAGUGCAGGAGAGGAAAGUGGAAUUCCUAGUGUAGCGGUGAAAUGCGUAGAUAUUAGGAGGAACACCAGUAGCGAAGGCGGCUUUCUGGACUGUAACUGACACUGAGGCACGAAAGCGUGGGGAGCAAACAGGAUUAGAUACCCUGGUAGUCCACGCCGUAAACGAUGAGUACUAGGUGU
rnacentral:rRNA from 1 species